ACUUUUAUCUUUUGCUUUAUCAGUAUAUUUACAAUAGAUGUGGCAUCUUUGCCUUAUCCCUCUUAAUAAGAUCCUGCUGGUUUUUAUUCUAUUGAUAUAACAUUUUGGUGGAGAAUUGCGAAAGGGGGAAUAUUGGUAAAAUGCCUCAGUUAUAGUAAACAUUGGUGUGCACACAGCCGGCUCUAUAGAGAGCGGUUCUAUUUUUGGUUAACCAAAGCCUACUGACCUCCGGAGGGUAGAGGCUUCCUAAAAGAGCUCAUAGAAACUUUAAGCUACAAUUAAUCUUAUCCAAAGUGUUCACUGAGAAAUCAGGGGUAACAAGAGCCUAUAGGGCAAGGUAAAGCUGCUCGCUGAACGAGAUCAGGGGUAGCAGGAUAAGAUAAUUUAGGCUGUGUCACUCGCUGCAAGGAUUCAGGGGUGACAAAGGAAACUAUACACGUGUUAAAAAUGUUUAAGAAAAGACAAGGGAGAACAGUCUCAGAGAGAGGAAUGGAGUUUGAAGGAGCUCCAACCUCACCUUUUGUAAAACAAAUAACACCCUUUAAACAAAUCCUUCAGAGAUAUGGGCACAGUCCUUGGACUGAACAAGCCCUUGCAGAUGCUUGCUCUAUUUCGGAUCUAGAGGGCAGAUUGGCCCAAUAUAUCCUCAUAUGUAAACCCCCAAAUGCAGCAAAAAGAGACGCUGCAGGGAUUUGGCUGCUGUGGGAGGCUUGUAAUGACAGCUACUUCCGCCUAACAGCCUGUAAAGAAGAGAAAAUAUCUCUAAAAGAAAAACUAUCCCAAUUGGAAAAAGGGGUAGAAAAUUGGAAAGUAAUGGCAAUAAAUUCCCACAAUCAAAUGGAAAUGAUAAAACACACCUUACAGGAAAGUAAAAGUAAUGAGAGAUUCCUGACGGACCAGGUGACAGCCUAUAAAGACAUAGAAAAAGAAAAUCAGGCUUUAAUCAAAGAAAACCAGAUCCUGCAAGGCAUGGUUAAGAAAUUAACAUUAGAACAGGGCAAAGCCCCGGAAAACCAUAAUCACUGUGAUUCUAUUAUUAAACACUUGAAACAAAAAUUAGGUUUUGCUACCCGCCAAGUAGCGGCUGUCAAAUCAGGAGAAUGGAACCCUGACGACUGUCAAAUUCUAGCAGAUUGGGAAGCAGAAAUUUGGGACCCCCAAGAAGUCUGGGAGGGAGACAUUUGGGAUAACCCACAGAAGGGUCCUGUAGCCCCGGUGGCAGCUUUAGAGCGGCGCACUAUAACUACCCCCAGAGCAGACGCUCAGGGUGGGGGUAACGAACAAAUAACAACUAUCCCGGCGUCAGCAGCCGACCUAAAGGCAAUGGCUGAUCACCUAGGUAUAUUGAACAGGGAAUUCUUCUCCCGAUGGUGUACCGAUGCCAUCCUAUUAACUGGGAGAGAGGCACUGACCACUACAGAACUCUACCGGCUUAUGGGGAUAUGUGCGGCUCCAGACAUAAGAGCUACCCUGGACCGCAUUAGAAUAACUGAGCCCGCCAA
rnacentral:lncRNA from 1 species